UUGGAGUCUUUCUACUGUCACCUUCUGGGAUGCUUCUUCAGCAGUGCCCUGCUUUGAAGUUGCUUCCUUGGUCUCAGACUGAGACUCUGAGUCUGAAAAAAAUAAGAUAAAAUGCAAAUAACACUGGAAGGGAGGAAGAGCUAACUUCCUGGAUAGAAGAAUCAGAAACCAAGAGAAUAUUAAUGGGCGAGGAUACUGCACCUCUGGUCCAUUUCACCUCUGCAGCACCUCUGGUCCGUUUCACCUCUGCAGCACCUCUGGUCCGUUUCAUCUCAGCAGCAUCUCUGGUCCAUUUCACCUCUGCAGCACCUCUGGUCACCUUCACCUAUACGUCCCAUUCUCUUCUCUGACACCACUCCCACCCUGAUGCAGAUCUCGUCACUUCACGCCUGGCCCUGAUGCAAUAGCUGCUGGGGAGUCUGCCUGCCUCAAGUCUCUCCCCACUCCAAUCCAUCCUCCAGUCAACCACUAAAAUGAUUUUCCUAAAGCUCAGGGCCAACAUUCCCUUUCCCAAACUCCAAUGGCUCCUCAGCACAUGCUCCUCGAUCCACCUCCUGGCUCUGGGCAUUUUCUCUGGUUGUCUCCCAUACAUGGAAUGCUCUUCUUCCUGGCUUUCUUCAAGUCUCAAC